UACAGAGGUCUCAAGCGUUGUUCGGAUUCAUUGGGCGUAAAGGGCGCGUAGGCGGCCACCGCAAGUCAAUUGUGAAAUCUCCGGGCUUAACUCGGAAAGGUCAACUGAUACUGCGGGGCUAGAGUGCGGAAGGGGCAACUGGAAUUCUCGGUGUAGCGGUGAAAUGCGUAGAGAUCGGGAGGAACAUCAGUUGCGAAGGCGGCUCUCUGGACCAGCACUGACACUGAGGCACGAAAGCGUGGGGAGCAAACAGG
rnacentral:rRNA from 1 species